ACCACUAAGCCUCACCACUGUGCCCUGUAGGAGCCAGACGGGCUCUGGGCUGCCAACUCCCUGUGUACUGCAAUGUGGUUCUGAGGCAGCUGCACUUCUCAGCCCAGGAAAGUGCAGAACUCAGAGUGGCCAAGCCCCAACUGACAGACAGUAGCAGAGAUUCCCUGGCCCUCCCACCCCAUCACUGAAGCCUGAAACUUCCGGCCUUCAUCCCCAUUAAUUCACCAGCUACUGGGCUCCCGGAGUCACGAAGGGCAGUGCACCAUGGAUAUCGAGUUCAGAUGGAACAGGACAUGGCUCCCUGGCAGAACAUCAUCAUAAGAAACAACCCCCUGACGUCUGGAGCCACUCUCCUGCCUCUACGAUAGCUGUCCGCGGCCUUUUUAAGUUAAUCAGGCACCCAGAUGGCAUACCAGGAGAAUGCAAGUCACUGUGACCUUCAGCGCAUGUGGUCCACGUCCACGCUGCCUGGGGAAAUACAGUAACAGGAGAAGGGGCAGGAGACAAUGAGGAGAGAAGUGGCAACAUGAUGAUCUCAAAGCCAAGGCUGACCACUGGGCUCCAGGGACAAGAAUAAACUUUGGAGUGACUGCCUUGUUUUCACUCAGCAAAGUUUGCUGGCUGGAGAUGAGAUAUAAGGCAGAGUUUUGGACUAUUAAUUCAUUGCAUUCUGAGAUAUCUGGAACUCUGAAUAAAGUCCUGUUUUUCAUUUAAAUUUA